UGGGGAAUAUUGCACAAUGGGGGAAACCCUGAUGCAGCAACGCCGCGUGAGUGAUGAAGGCCUUCGGGUUGUAAAGCUCUGUCUUUGGGGACGAUAAUGACGGUACCCAAGGAGGAAGCCACGGCUAACUACGUGCCAGCAGCCGCGGUAAUACGUGGGUGGCAAGCGUUGUCCGGAUUUACUGGGCGUAAAGGGAGCGUAGGUGGAUAUUUAAGUGGGAUGUGAAAUCCCCGGGCUUAACCUGGGGGCUGCAUUCCAAACUGGAUGUCUAGAGUGCAGGAGAGGAGAGUGGAAUUCCUAGUGUAGCGGUGAAAUGCGUAGAGAUUAGGAAGAACACCAGUGGCGAAGGCGACUCUCUGGACUGUAACUGACACUGAGGCUCGAAAGCGUGGGGAGCAAACA
rnacentral:rRNA from 1 species